rnacentral:rRNA from 1 species
AGUGAACGCUGGCGAUAGGCCUAACACAUGCCAGUCGAACGGCAGCACAGUAAGAGCUUGCUCUUACGGGUGGCGAGUGGCGGGCGGGUGAGGAAUACAUCGGAAUCUACUUUUUCGUGGGGGAUAACGUAGGGAAACUUACGCUAAUACCGCAUACGACCUACGGGUGAAAGCAGGGGAUCUUCGGACCUUGCGCGAUUGAAUGAGCCGAUGUCGGAUUAGCUAGUUGGCGGGGUAAAGGCCCACCAAGGCGACGAUCCGUAGCUGGUCUGAGAGGAUGAUCAGCCACACUGGAACUGAGACACGGUCCAGACUCCUACGGGAGGCAGCAGUGGGGAAUAUUGGACAAUGGGCGCAAGCCUGAUCCAGCCAUACCGCGUGGGUGAAGAAGGCCUUCGGGUUGUAAAGCCCUUUUGUUGGGAAAGAAAAGCAGCAGGUUAAUACCCCGCUGUUCUGACGGUACCCAAAGAAUAAGCACCGGCUAACUUCGUG